rnacentral:lncRNA from 1 species
GGAGAUUGUUUUCUGGAAUUUGGAUAGACUCACAACCCAUGGAUCCUUUGCGUUUUCUCAUUUGGCCAUAUUUGCUGACUUUUUGAGGAGAGGCUGGGUUACGGGCUGUUGACACCUUUUCUGUGUGUCUGUGUUGCUGAGACACUUUGUUGAUCAAGUCCCUUUAGUCAAAGCGUGGGCCACCUCCUAUGGGAAAAGGCCACGUCAGGUGUGGACCCUGAAUUUGUCAGUUUAAUGGGUCUGCACAAAGACAGCCUGACCUCAAUAUCUAUGUUACCCGAAUCGUGUCACUCGAACCCCUGCCCUUCGGUACUAAUGCUUUUCCUGCUUCCACUAGCCCUACAGCAUCUCGCGUAAUUGCAAGAGGAAAUGGGUUUUCAUUACUUCACCUAAUAGCAACUGUGGGAUACAGGACAUCAAGUCCUUCUUUAGCUGCUUUCCCCACACAUUAUCCGCCCAUUUAAACGCAAAGUGUGUGAUAGCUGUGAAGAUUAUGAGUUUAAGGAUUUAUUCAUUCAUCUCAGAAGUAGUUUGCAGGUGUUUGCACUCCCGUGAGUAUUUAUCUAAGCUUUACCCACACAGUUGUCAAAGUGAAAACACUGUGUUAGGUACUGAGAUGGCUUUGGCGGAACUUUCCGAGUUUUCAUCAUUUACGUCUUUGGUAGAUUAAUUUUCUGCGACCUUUCACUCUUUCCUUUGUGGGAAGAGACUGGUCAGUGUAGGCUUCUGUCCGCUCCCUCAGUUUCCAUCGUGUUGGCUUGGUGCCCUCAGGAAGCAGUUCCUAGAGGAUGCUCGUGACGUGUGCCUGUUUGGACAUAUGCUCUGUGGAACUCAGUGCCUGACUUAAAACCCUUGGGACCUGGCCUCCGGUGCUUGGCUUCUGAGACAUGUCCCAGCAUAUUCACGAAGACUUAGCUCCCCCUCGUCCUUGGUAGGAAAUCAACCCAAGACUUUUACACCCUUAAACAUAAGGAGAAAGCAUCACCUUUGCCUCUUGGUGGCCACCAGGGAGGACAGCCCAGUACAAGUACCAGGAUGCGAUAAGAGGGGACACCCAAAUGCCACGGCCGAAUCCCCUUUCCCUCCCCCAUGCACCAGACUGAGGGGUGAGCCACACAGUUUCCUUCGGAACUUUCCAUUCUCCACGCACAGAUAUUCGUAAAGCAGUUUAGGACCCAAAGGCUAGCCUGGCAUUCUGAGCACGUUUCCCUUGUUGUUUUUCCACCUUCAGCCCAGUCCAGGCUUGUCCUGGGUGUCCUGUGUUGUUUGCUGAAACAGUAGCUGGUGGAGUGACGCCUCGCCUUGGCACAGUUGGGAACUGCAGAGACAAGCUCCUGGCUCUUUGGAAAGUAGCGGAUCCUACCUUCCGCCUCUGGCCAUUGAUGGAAUCCUGGCCUAGAUUUUCAGAUUCGCUCAUUCAUUUAACUAAUAUUUACCGAACACUAAUAAGUCAGUCACUGUGACUCUCAGUAUUUUAUAUUUAAUUAAAAUACUUUAACCUCUCCUGUGUGUUUACUGGGAGCCAGGAUCAUGCUCUCUCUUUUCCUUUACAUUCCGUUCACAAGAACCGGGCGCGGUGGGACUCAGCGCCCUUCUGCAGAGGAAAGAAAAUGAGGAAAAACUAAAAUACCUCGUCCGAAGUCAUUCGUUCCGUGAGCCACAGGCAGGCUGGGAACCCGCAGUCUAACUCAAUUGCUUGUGCUUUAAUUAUAAGUCUUUCUCAGCCAUCUGAUUCGAUGUGUGUGCGAUUUAAGUGAGCAACUCAUCAAAGUUCUGAACCGCAAGAGCCAAACCAGAUUUUUAGGAUUGCAGAGAAAAGAGAACUUGGCUUAAAAAAAUCAUUUGAUGGCAUGUAUAGUUGCAAGUCGAAAGGGUAGGUCUCGGGGCUGGCAGGGUUUUGUAUCCACCUGGCCUGUCAAAAUUUGGAGCCGUGUUCACCAGUCAUUCCAUGUUAGCCGAUCCGCACACAGAUUUUAUAAUCGGAGGAGUGCAUUGUCUGUAAUAAGACCAACAACAGCAAUUUCAAUAGUGAAUCUGGCAGGUUGCAAGCUGAGUUCUCUUCCACUCUGGUUCUAGAAGGAUGCCUUUUUCUCAAUAUUUAGGAAAAACUGCUUUGAGAUUGCAUCGCUGUCACAAUUAACCAGGUUAUUUUAUUCCUAUAUGGGCUGCCUACACUUGGAAAAUGCCCUUUGUCAUGAGACGCGGUGCCAGAAGUCAGGAGCAGGUGACCGUUGUGUUGAUCUGGGGUCGCUUUUGGAAAUUGUUCAAUAAUUGGGUAGAGGGACUUUCUGCUCUGUGGGAGAAGAUACAUUUUGAGUGAAAUAUAACCUGGGUCACUGGUUGCUGGGGGCCCUAAUCCACUUUCUCAGAUACCUACCUGGAUCACUGAAUACACGAGAGCAGAAAAUGCUAAAAAUAUCUGGUCCAGGUGUACGGAGGCCUGGAAGUGACACACAGGAAGCACUUGCUAUCAUGUCCUGAGAUGAAACGGGCCCAGGGCAGCUGGCAGAAUUAAAAAUCUCAACUUCCUGUGUUAUAACCGCGAAUCUGCCGCCGCCCCGUGAUUUCUCAAUAAAGGAGGAGAAACUCUAACAAAAUAAUCUUGCACAUUUUGAUGGUUCCCAGGAUAAAUUUAACUCAACAUGGAGGAUCUGAUUCUCUUAUCAAGAAUAUCAGGGGAAAUGGUUUUGCUGCAACAGACAAAGGAAAUUCCUGUCCUUUUUAAUGGACUCCAGCUGCCUACCAAGGCUCAUUGCUCACUUCAGGCUGUGCCCAAGUUAUUUAUAGGAGAUAUCUCAGUGUAACCUAGGGAAGUGCAGGUCAUUUGAAAAUAAAGACACAGAAAACCCAAAUGAGAAACUCCAUUUCUAGAAUUAGUUUUCCUGAAAGUCAGGCCUGUCUUUGAGGACAAGCUUUUGGCUGUAUUAUUUUUGUGCACCGGAGAAAAGUUAUUGGUAGGUUUAUAGAUAUUAUUUUUAUAAUAGAAUGUUAAGCUCCCCCCAAAACAUCAAAAAUUGUCUCCUAAAAUGGUUUCUAAAGCUUGUUUAAAAAACAGAAGGAUUGUAAAUAGCAAAUAGGGCCUUUUCUCCUUUCUCCUCUGCCAUGGUUUAAUGGGAUAGAUGAACCAAUGUUUAUAUUUUUAAGCCUGUAAAUAUUUUAUUUUGGGUAUUUUGUAUAUUUGUUGAUACAGCUCCAUGGUGCGCAUAUGUACGUACCAUCGUGCAUGUUGCUGGUUUUGAUUGUCACUCUUUUAAUGACGGUGAGAAGCUUGGACUAAUAGCACUUUCCUUGUUUCGUUCAAACAUCUUCAAAUGAAAAUACAGCACUGCCAUUUUAAACGUUGCGUUUCAUUCAGUCAAUAAAUUUUGUUGCUCCUUUACAA